rfam:Monoraphidium neglectum strain SAG 48.87 mitochondrion, whole genome shotgun sequence.
UAAUUAGAGCCAACCUAAUUAACCUACUAGAACAUGCAAUACGAGUAAUUGAAUUGUGUGAAGCUUCUAGAACAAUGUAACAGGACGUUUGACCUCCGGACGAUCCUGAGCUAGGUGAAGAUUCUCAUGGGUAA